GUUGUAUAGUCAAGUAAUUAAGUGCAUGUGGUGGAUGCCUUGGCAGUCAGAGGCGAUGAAAGACGUGAUAGCCUGCGAAAAGCUCCGGGGAGGCGGCAAAUAUCCUUUGAUCCGGAGAUGUCUGAAUGGGGGAACCCACCUACUUUAAGGUAGGUAUUGCAACAUGAAUACAUAGUGUUGCAAGGCGAACGAGGGGAAGUGAAACAUCUCAGUACCCUUAGGAAAAGAAAUCAAUUGAGAUUCCCUCAGUAGCGGCGAGCGAACGGGGAUCAGCCCAUUAAGUUAUGUGUGUUUUAGUGGAACGCUCUGGGAAGUGCGAACGUAGAGGGUGAUAUUCCCGUACACGAAAGGGCACACAUAAUGAUGACGAGUAGGGCGAGGCACGUGAAACCUUGUCUGAAUAUGGGGGGACCAUCCUCCAAGGCUAAAUACUCCUGACUGACCGAUAGUGAACCAGUACCGUGAGGGAAAGGCGAAAAGAACCCCUGUGAGGGGAGUGAAAUAGAUCCUGAAACCGCAUGCAUACAAGCAGUGGGAGCACCUUCGUGGUGUGACUGCGUACCUUUUGUAUAAUGGGUCAGCGACUUAUAUUCAGUAGCGAGGUUAACCGUAUAGGGGAGCCGUAGAGAAAUCGAGUCUUAAUAGGGCGUUUAGUUGCUGGGUAUAGACCCGAAACCAGGCGAUCUAUCCAUGAGCAGGUUGAAGGUUGGGUAACACUAACUGGAGGACCGAACCCACUGUCGUUGAAAAGCCAGGGGAUGACUUGUGGAUAGGGGUGAAAGGCUAAUCAAGCCUGGUGAUAGCUGGUUCUCCCCGAAAGCUAUUUAGGUAGCGCCUCGGACGAAUACCAUAGGGGGUAGAGCACUGUUUCGGCUAGGGGGUCAUCCCGACUUACCAAACCGAUGCAAACUCCGAAUACCUAUGAGUACUAUCCGGGAGACAGACUGCGGGUGCUAACGUCCGUAGUCAAGAGGAAAACAAUCCAGACCGCCAGCUAAGGCCCCAAAAUCAUAGUUAAGUGGGAAACGAUGUGGGAAGGCAUAGACAGCUAGGAGGUUGGCUUAGAAGCAGCCACCCUUUAAAGAAAGCGUAAUAGCUCACUAGUCGAGUCGGCCUGCGCGGAAGAUGUAACGGGGCUAAAACUAUGUGCCGAAGCUGCGGAUNNNNNNNNNNNNNNAUGCUGGAGGUAUCAGAAGUGCGAAUGCUGACGUGAGUAACGACAAAACGGGUGAAAAACCCGUUCGCCGAAAGACCAAGGGUUCCAGUCCAACGUUAAUCGGGGCUGGGUGAGUCGACCCCUAAGGCGAGGCCGAAAGGCGUAGUCGAUGGGAAAAUGGUUAAUAUUCCAUUACUUCUGUGUAAUGCGAUGAGAGGACGGAGAAGGCUAAAUCAGCCUGGCGUUGGUUGUCCAGGUGAAAGGAUGUAGGCAUGUAUCUUAGGCAAAUCCGGGGUACUCUAUGCUGAGAUCUGAUAGCAAGCUGUACUUGUACAGCGAAGUGGUUGAUGCCAUGCUUCCAGGAAAAGUCUCUAAGCUUCAGUUACACAGGAAUCGUACCCGAAACCGACACAGGUGGUCAGGUCGAGUAGACCAAGGCGCUUGAGAGAACUCUGCUGAAGGAACUAGGCAAAAUGGUACCGUAACUUCGGGAGAAGGUACGCUGUUGUUGGUGAUGGAACUCGCUUCCUGAGCUGACGACAGCCGCAGAAACCAGGCCGCUGCAACUGUUUAUUAAAAACAUAGCACUCUGCAAACACGAAAGUGGACGUAUAGGGUGUGAUGCCUGCCCGGUGCUGGAAGGUUAAUUGAUGGGGUUAGCGUAAGCGAAGCUCUUGAUCGAAGCCCCAGUAAACGGCGGCCGUAACUAUAACGGUCCUAAGGUAGCGAAAUUCCUUGUCGGGUAAGUUCCGACCUGCACGAAUGGCAUAAUGAUGGCGGCGCUGUCUCCAGCAGAGGCUCAGUGAAAUCGAAAUCGCUGUGAAGAUGCAGUGUACCCGCGGCUAGACGGAAAGACCCCGUGAACCUUUACUGCAGCUUGACACUGAACUUUGACCUUACUUGUGUAGGAUAGGUGGGAGGCUUUGAAGCUGGAACGCUAGUUCCAGUGGAGCCGUCCUUGAAAUACCACCCUGGUAAUGUUGAGGUUCUAACUCUGUCCCGUGAUCCGGGACGAGGACCGUGUCUGGUGGGUAGUUUGACUGGGGCGGUCUCCUCCUAAAGAGUAACGGAGGAGUACGAAGGUGCGCUCAGCGUGGUCGGAAAUCACGCGUAGAGUAUAAAGGCAAAAGCGCGCUUAACUGCGAGACCCACAAGUCGAGCAGGUACGAAAGUAGGUCUUAGUGAUCCGGUGGUUCUGUAUGGAAGGGCCAUCGCUCAACGGAUAAAAGGUACUCUGGGGAUAACAGGCUGAUACCGCCCAAGAGUUCAUAUCGACGGCGGUGUUUGGCACCUCGAUGUCGGCUCAUCUCAUCCUGGGGCUGAAGCAGGUCCCAAGGGUAUGGCUGUUCGCCAUUUAAAGAGGUACGCGAGCUGGGUUUAGAACGUCGUGAGACAGUUCGGUCCCUAUCUACCGUGGGCGCUGGAAAUUUGAGAGGAUCUGCUCCUAGUACGAGAGGACCAGAGUGGACGAACCUCUGGUGUACCGGUUGUGACGCCAGUCGCAUCGCCGGGUAGCUAUGUUCGGAAGGGAUAACCGCUGAAAGCAUCUAAGCGGGAAGCCUACCUCAAGAUAAGAUUUCCCUAGGACUUUAUGUCCUCUAAAGAGCCGUUCGAGACUAGGACGUUGAUAGGUUGGAUGUGGAAGCAUAGUGAUAUGUGAAGCUGACCAAUACUAAUUGCUCGUGAGGCUUGACUAUACAACACCCAAGCAGUUG
rnacentral:rRNA from 1 species